GACGAACGCUGGCGGCGUGCUUAACACAUGCAAGUCGAACGGUGAAGCGCCUUCCUUUUUGGUGGGUGUGGAUGAGUGGCGAACGGGUGAGUAACACGUGAGUAACCUGCCCCCUUCUUCUGGAUAACCGCAUGAAAGUGUGGCUAAUACGGGAUAUUCUGGGUCUGUCGCAUGAUGGGUCUGGGAAAGAUAUUGUUUCGGUGGGGGAUGGGCUCGCGGCCUAUCAGCUUGUUGGUGGGGUGAUGGCCUACCAAGGUGGUGACGGGUAGCCGGCCUGAGAGGGUGGACGGUCACACUGGGACUGAGACACGGCCCAGACUCCUACGGGAGGCAGCAGUGGGGAAUAUUGCACAAUGGGCGCAAGCCUGAUGCAGCGACGCCGCGGGAGGGAUGGAGGCCUUCGGGUUGUGAACCUCUUUCGCCAGUGAAGCAGGCCUGCCUCGUUUGUGGGUGGGUUGACGGUAGCUGGAUAAGAAGCGCCGGCUAACUACGUG
rnacentral:rRNA from 1 species